rnacentral:misc_RNA from 1 species
AAGUCGUAACAAGGUUUCCGUAGGUGAACCUGCGGAAGGAUCAUUAACACUUUUUCCAAAAAACUCUGGGAAAAGAAGUUCUGCUUCUUUUCUUGGUUUUAACCCCAUUCUUUUGCGAACGAUGAUUUUCCAAAAUCAUUUUUCUCUUCUUUAUCCUCUUUUUUUAUUUUUACCCCAAUUACUACAAACCAUACAAAGCCUGAUAUAAAAUCGCUCUUUUGAAAAAAAAAAGCGACCGAAACCUAAUGGUUAAAACAACUCUUAGCAACGGAUAUCUUGGCUCUC